AUUGAACGCUGGCGGCAGGCCUAACACAUGCAAGUCGAACGAGUGGCGGACGGGUGAGUAAUGUCUGGGAAACUGCCUGAUGGAGGGGGAUAACUACUGGAAACGGUAGCUAAUACCGCAUACCAUCAGAUGUGCCCAGAUGGGAUUAGCUGGUUGGUGGGGUAACGGCUCACCUAGGCGACGAUCCCUAGCUGGUCUGAGAGGAGGACCAGCCACACUGGAAUUGAGACACGGUCCAGACGCCACCGGGAGGCAGCAGUGGGGAAGAGUGCACAAUGGGCUCAAGCUUGAUGCAGCCAUGCCGCGUGUAUGAAGAAGGCCUUCGGGUUGUAAAGUACUUUCAGCGGGGAGGCGUUACUCGCAGAAGAAGCACCGGCUAACUCCGUGCCAGCAGCCGCGGUAAUUC
rnacentral:rRNA from 1 species